rnacentral:rRNA from 2 species
GGACUACCCGGGUAUCUAAUCCUGUUUGAUCCCCACACUUUCGUGCCUCAGCGUCAGUUACAGCUUGGUAAGCUGCCUUCGCUAUCGGUGUUCUUGACGAUAUCUAUGCAUUUCACCGCUACACCGUCAAUUCCGCCUACCUCAUCUGUACUCAAGCCCCGCAGUAUCAAUGGCACCCUCUCAGUUAAGCUGAGAUAUUUCACCACUGACUUACAGGGCCGCCUACGCACCCUUUAAACCCAAUAAAUCCGGACAACGCUUGCCACCUACGUAUUACCGCGGCUGCUGGCAC